UUGAGAGGAGGUUUACAUCUGAAAGCCAGGAAGUGAAACCUCAUCAGAAACAAAUGUGCGCCAACUUGAUCUUGGACUUCCAGUCUUUAGAACUGUGGAAAAAAAUGCCAUAUCGACAAGAGAUCUUUCCAGCUAAAGGUCAACUAACUACUUCCAGCAAAAGAGAAUUCACAGGACUCCUUCCCAUGGAGACCAGGAAGCUUCAAGCAUAAUACUUCAACAAAGAAUUUCCUUCUAUAAACAAUAUGAAUGUACAAAGAA